rnacentral:misc_RNA from 1 species
GAUGAAGAACGCAGCAAAAUGCGAUAAGUAAUGUGAAUUGCAGAAUUCAGUGAAUCAUCGAAUCUUUGAACGCACAUUGCGCCCGCCAGUAUUCUGGCGGGCAUGCCUGUUCGAGCGUCAUUUCAACCCUCAAGCACAGCUUGGUGUUGGGACUCGCGUUAAUUCGCGUUCCUCAAAUUGAUUGGCGGUCACGUCGAGCUUCCAUAGCGUAGUAGUAAAACCCUCGUUACUGGUAAUCGUCGCGGCCACGCCGUUAAACCCCAACUUCUGAAUGUUGACCUCGGAUCAGGUAGGAAUACCCGCUGAACUUAAGCUUAUCAAUAAGCGGAGGA